UACGUAGGGGGCAAGCGUUGUCCGGAUUUAUUGGGCGUAAAGAGCGUGUAGGCGGCUUGGUAGGUCCGCUGUGAAAACUCGAGGCUCAACCUCGAGAUGUCGGCGGAAACCGCUUGGCUAGAGUCCGGAAGAGGGGAGUGGAAUUCCCGGUGUAGCGGUGAAAUGCGCAGAUAUCGGGAAGAACACCUAUGGCGAAGGCAGCGCUCUGGGACGGUACUGACGCUGAGACGCGAAAGCGUGGGGAGCGAACAGG
rnacentral:rRNA from 1 species